GACGAACGCUGGCGGCGUGCCUAAUACAUGCAAGUCGAGCGAACAGACGAGGGGCUUGCUCCUCGGAAGUCAGCGGCGGAAACGGGAGUAAAACGUGUAUAAAACCCCUAUAAGACUGUGAUAACUUUGGGAAAAAGGAGCUAAUAUCGGAUAAUAUAUUAAAUCUCAUGGUUCAAUAGUUAAAAACGGUUUUGUUGUAACAUAUAGAGAGAUCCGCGCCGCAUUAGCUAGUUGGUAAGGUAACGGCUUACCAAGGCGACGAUGCGUAGCCGACCUGAGAGGGUGAUCGGCCACACUGGAACUGAGACACGGUCCAGACUCCUACGGGAGGCAGCAGUAGGGAAUCUUCCGCAAUGGGCGAAAGCCUGACGGAGCAACGCCGCGUGAGUGAUGAAGGUCUUCGGUUCGUAAAGCUCUGUUAUUAGGGAAGAACAAAUGUGUAAGUAACUAUGCACGUCUUGACGGUACCUAAUCAGAAAGCCACGGCUAACUACGUG
rnacentral:rRNA from 1 species